CCGAGGCCCUUAUAGCUGCGGAAGAGGAGUGUCGCCCAGGCAGGUGGCGGGCGGGCGGGGAGGGCCUUGGCCCUUCCCCCAGAGGACUUCCUGGGAGUCCCGGCUUGGAGGCUUGGCCUUGUAGAAGCCGAGGUGAAGGCUCAAUCCGCGUGAAGCUGAUUGGCAUGUCAUCCAGCAUGUGCACUCCCCUAACUGUGUCAGCAGCCUGUGCCCAAGGGACCCGGAUGAACUAGUGAGCGCCCUGCCCUUCCAGCUCUCCCACGUCUGGCAACACACAACUCCAAAGCCAGGAAAAGCACAACCAACCAUUAUGAAAUAAGCCCCUAAGGCAUUUCCACGGAAGUAGGGGUAAGAA